rnacentral:rRNA from 1 species
UCUUGAUUAUUUUUUUUAAUAAUUUUUAUUUAUUAUUAAAAUUUUAUAAAAAUAAUUUUAUUGGGGUGAUAAAAAAAUUUAAUAAACUUUUUUUUAUAUAACAAUUAUAAUUGAUUAAUUGAUCUAAAAUUUUUAAUUAUGAGAAUAGU